rnacentral:rRNA from 1 species
GUGCCAGCAGCCGCGGUAAUACGAAGGGGGCGAGCGUUGUUCGGAAUUACUGGGCGUAAAGGGCGCGUAGGCGGUUUGUUAAGUUAGGCGUGAAAGGCCCGGGCUCAACCUGGGGAGUGCGCUUAAGACUGGCAGGCUGGGAUGCGAGAGAGGAUGGCGGAAUUCCCAGUGUAGAGGUGAAAUUCGUAGAUAUUGGGAAGAACACCGGUGGCGUAGGCGGCCAUCUGGCUCGUGAUUGACGCUGAGGCGCGAAAGCGUGGGGAGCAAACAGGAUUAGAUACCCCCGUAGUCC